rnacentral:rRNA from 1 species
AUCGGGAUAGGACUAAGACAUGCUAGUCAAGCGCUUACCAGCCAAAGGUGAGUGCGGCACACAGCUCAGUAGCACGUGGCUAACCUACCCUCAGGACAGGGACAACCCCGGGAAACUGGGGCUAAUACCUGAUAGGUGAGGAUGCCUGGAAUGGUUUCUCACUCAAAGGGCUUUGGGAACAUGCUUCCAUUGUCGCCUGGGGAUGGGGCCGCGACCGAUCAGGUUGUUGGUUGAGGUAACGGCUCACCAAGCCUUUAACCGGUACGGGCCGUGAGAGCGGUAGCCCGGAGAUGGGUACUGAGACAAGGACCCAGGCCCUACGGGGCGCAGCAGUCGCGAAAACUCCGCAAUGCACGAAAGUGUGACGGGGCUACCCCGAGUGCCGUCCGCUGAGGAUGGCUUUUCCCUGGUUUAACCAGCCAUGGGAAUAAGGAGAGGGCAAGACUGGUGUCAGCCGCCGCGGUAAUACCAGCUCUCCGAGUGGUAGGGAUGAUUAUUGGGCUUAAAGCGCCCGUAGCCGGCUUAGCAAGUCUCCUGUUAAAUUCAGCGACCUAAUCGUUGAGCCGCGGGAGAUACUACUAGGCUAGGAGGCGGGAGAGGUCGACGGUACUUCUGGGGUAGGGGUGAAAUCCUAUAAUCCCGGGAGGACCACCAGUGGCGAAGGCUGUUGACUAGAACGCGCUCGACGGUGAGGGACGAAAGCUGGGGGAGCAAACCGGAUUAGAUACCCGGGUAGUCCCAGCUGUAAACGAUGCGGGCUAGGUGUUGGGGUGGCUACGUGCCACUUCAGUGCCGCAGGGAAACCAUUAAGCCCGCCGCCUGGGGAGUACGGCCGCAAGGCUGAAACUUAAAGGAAUUGGCGGGAAGGGCGAAUUCG